rnacentral:lncRNA from 1 species
CUCAAAAAGGUGUCAUCUGAUUUCCUUAAAUAUUUCAAAAUUGUAUAGAAUCGUUAACCCGAUACCGAGCACAUUAUAGAAUGAACAGUAAUUGACGCGAAACUUGAACCGCUAGAUCGAAACUCAGAACGAGAUACCGUCGUCGAUCGUAAACCUCAACAACUACACAUCACUUGAAAUUGGAAAGGAUUUGAUCUUGUUUCUGGGCUGUGGAUUUAUAUGACGGUAAAUGGUUGAAGACAUGGGUGUUUGUGGGUCUUUCAUGGCAGUGUAAAGGUGGAGAUACAGUGGUUUUCAAUGGUAAGAAUAGGAGGUGAUUUAAGGUAGAGUCAUGGUGUUUUUGCUGGAAAUGGAAGCUUUGAAGAUUAUACUUGUGGAAGAAAGUUGUGGCUGUGUAUAUGAGUGGUCGUUAAUGGAGUGAGAGCAAGGUGAGAGUAUGUUGUUGGUGGUUGCGACUUUGUGUGUGUGGUCGCGGCUGGCUUAGGACGGCGGAAUUGGUUUCUCAAAUGAGAGAUGAAGAUUUUGGAGACGAAAAAUCCGAUCGUCUUCUCAGGUGGGGUGGUCUGCCG